rnacentral:rRNA from 1 species
UACGUAGGGUGCAAGCGUUGUCCGGAAUUAUUGGGCGUAAAGAGCUCGUAGGCGGUUCGUCACGUCGGCUGUGAAAACCUGAGGCUCAACCUCAGGCCUGCAGUCGAUACGGGCGGACUUGAGUACUGCAGGGGAGACUGGAAUUCCUGGUGUAGCGGUGAAAUGCGCAGAUAUCAGGAGGAACACCGGUGGCGAAGGCGGGGUCUCUGGGCAGUAACUGACGCUGAGGAGCGAAAAGCCGUGGGGGAGCGAACAGG